rnacentral:rRNA from 1 species
AUUGAACGCUGGCGGCAGGCCUAACACAUGCAAGUCGAACGAGUGGCGGACGGGUGAGUAAUGUCUGGGAAACUGCCAGAUGGAGGGGGAUAACUACUGGAAACGGUAGCUAAUAACGCAUACCAUCGGAUGUGCCCAGAUGGGAUUAUGUAGUAGGUGGGGUAAAGGCGCACCUAGGCGACGAUCCCUAGCUGGUCUGAGAGGAUGACCCGCCACACUGGAACUGAGCAACGGUCCAGAUUCCUACGGGAGGCAGCAGUGGAGAAUAUUGCACAAUGUGCGCAAGCAUGCUGCAGCCAUGCCGCGUGUAUGAAGAAGGCCUUCGGGUUGUAAAGUACUUUCAGCGGGGAGGCGUUACCCGCAGAAGAAGCACCGGCUAACUCCGUGCCAGCAGCCGCGGUAAUUC